AAGGUCACAGAUGGGACAAAGCCAAACAGUUUUGAAAUCCAUUUUUCUGCUAAAAGUGCUGAAAAAAUGUUUCUUAAAUUAACCUUUUACUUUUUUUUUUUUUUAUGUCCCAUGUUGAUAUAUCAAAUAGCAAUCCUUUGGCCAGGUCAGAGAACACCGGAAUAGAACAUGCUUACUUGUGCUGCUCCUGUGCUCCCCUCGUCCUGCCCGGUGCCUUUCCAAUUCCACUCUCGAUCUGAGCCCACCACAUGCAGCCUGCUGUCAGGGGCACACCAGGACCAAGGGAAAAUUGCUUGAUACUAAAAGGCGGGAGCUGCUGCACCCUCCCUUUGGGCAGAUCUGCACACCAAAGUGCCAAGCGAGUGCCAGCCCAACAGCUAGCUAUCGCAGGGGCUGCAGGUAAUCUGCUCCUCAGAAAUGAUGUCAUAGCCCGUCCUCCCACACAGCCAUUUCUCCCUACAACUAUUGUGCACAUGAGUGAGUUUUUAUUAAAGAAGACCAACAAUGCCAUGCACUUUCGGGCUCCCUGGUAUGACCUGCCUUUGAGAAGUUCACAAAAAUGGGCUUUCUCUGAAGUACAAAAAGGGAUUUAACUGGGGGUCCCAGUGCCUUUGUGCAGGUCUUAUGCUCUAAUAAAUGUUACAUACCUUGGAGAUCCCAGCCUCAGCUGGCCCCUACCUGGCCUGGCCUGAAGCUCCAUCCUGGGUUCUGGCUGCUGAGCACUUGCGCCUCCAGUCCAUCAUGAGAAAGGCUCAAAACCAAAACGCUGUCUUCAGCUGACAGCAGGGGGAAGCAAACUCAUUUGUCUGCAUUAGAGGAAAGAUGCUGGAAAAAAUUGAAAAAGUUAAAAAUAAACUUUGCAAAUUGAAAAGGGGGGAGGUAAGGGAAGAGCAAGCAGUCAAACUUGCUCUUCAGUCUCUUCACACAUUAUUGUCCUCACAGCUCACUAAAAACGUCAAGUUAAUUUUACUAAGUAGCUAAAUUAUAGACACUCAGAUGUAAUCAGAAUCUGCUAUACAUUUCAACUUUCAAAAUUAAUCAACCUACGUUUUUGAGUUAUAACACCUGAAGGAAACAGCUGUACGUCUAUAUAUAGUGCACCCAUGUCUCUUGGUCUUCUUGCAGCCUUUUUUUCCCCCCCUACACCAUCUGUACUUAAAGAAUAAAAAUCAAAUGUUUCCUUUUCCUGA